rnacentral:ncRNA from 1 species
CCCCUACGUCAGGGGAGUCCCGCCAUGGGGACUGAGAGGCUGACAGGGGUUUGUUCAAUCUGCCCCGGUGACGCGACCCUUUGAACCUGACCCAGUUGACGCUGGCGUAGGAAGACCGAAGGGUAUUUCC